rnacentral:rRNA from 1 species
CCUACGGGUGGCAGCAGUGAGGAAUAUUGGUCAAUGGGAGAGAGUCUGAACCAGCCAUGCCGCGUGAGGGAUGACGGCCCUAUGGGUUGUAAACUUCUUUUGUACGAGAAUAAACCCCGGGACGUGUAUCGGAUUGAGCGUAUCGUAAGAAUAAGGAUCGGCUAACUCCGUGCCAGCAGCCGCGGUAAUACGGAGGAUUCGAGCGUUAUCCGGAUUUAUUGGGGUUAAAGGGUGUGUAGGAGGUUUGAUAAGUUAGCGGUGAAAUGUCGGGGCUCAACCCCGAAAGGGCCGUUAAUACUGGCGGACUAGAGAAGAGGUGAGGUAGGCGGAAUGCAUGGUGUAGCGGUGAAAUGCUUAGAUAUCAUACAGAAGUCCGAUUGCGAAGGCAGCGUACCAAACUAUAUCUGACGCUGAGGCACGAAAGCGUGGGGAGCAAACAGGAUUAGAUACCCUUGUAGUC